rnacentral:rRNA from 1 species
GUCUACGGCCAUGCCACCCUGAACAAGCCUGAUCCCAUCUGAUCUUGGAGCUAAGCAGGGUCGGACCUGGUUAGUACUUGGAUGGGAGACCACCUAGGAAGAUCAGGUGCUGUAGGCA